CUUUAUUUUGUUUAUUUAUUUUUAUGUAGUGCUGAGGAUUGAACCCAGUGCCUCACAUGUGCAAGGCAAGUGCUCUGCCACUGAGCCACACCCCAGCCCUGGGCUCCUUUUAUUUACUGAGUAAACACUGCCAGGAAUCUCCCAGGGCCACACUUGAGCUGAGGAUAGAGGAGAAACACACCAUGUGCACAUGCACACACACACACACAGACACACAUACACACACAGACACAACAGACAUGCACACAGGUACACACUCAGGCACACACACACAGACAUGUAGUUACAGAGACACAUAUAGACAUGCAAAGACAUACAGACAUAUGCAUAGAUACACACAGAGACACAUGGACACAUAGAGACACAUAUACAAAUGCACACGGGCUCAGACACACAGACACAUAGACACAAACACAUGGACACACAGAUACAUACAGAUACAAAAAAGGGACAGGACUGACUGUCCAGGGCACUGAUUUCUCUGCUAGGCAUCAGUUACUUUGCCUACAGACUAUGCAGACACACACAUACAUAGACAUACAAACACAGAUACAUAGACACACAUAGACACACAGACACAAACACACAGAUAUGUAGACAUAAACAUACAAACACACAGAUACACACAGACUCACAAACCAGGCACACAGACAUACACAGAUACACAAACACACAGAUAUGUAGACACGGACAUACAAACAUACAGACACAUAGAUACAGACAGACUCACAAACUAGACAUACAGACAAAUACACAGACACAUAGACAAUCAGACACACAAACACAUAAACACAGACACAGACACACAAACACACAAACACAAAGACACACAGACACACAAACACAGAUGAUAGACAUGCAUACAGACACAUGGACACAUACAUACACAAAAAAUACACAGACUUAGAUACAUAUAGACACACAGAUAUGCAGAACACAUGGAACACAGAUGCACACACAGACACACAGACACUCAGUGAUACAGACAUACAGACAUAGACAUACUCACAUACCCAAACAUAUAGACACACAGAUACACAGAGAUACAUCCAGACACAUAGACACAGACACAUGAGGCAGAGCCACGACAACAGUAAAAUCCAGCUCCUGGAGGAGUGUGAGGUCAGGGUGAGGUGAGGGGUUGCAG
rnacentral:lncRNA from 1 species